rnacentral:lncRNA from 1 species
GGUUGGCGCUCCUGACGAGGUCGUUGUUCCCGCUCGGCGCGACCGUUGGUCUUCCUGAUGGGACCGUUGGUCCUCGGAAGCUCUAGCAGUCCUGGCUACGUUUGGGGAGAAGUUCGUUCUGGAGAGAAAGCACACAAGCAGGGGGUGUGGAAGAAGGAGAAGCAGGCUUCUGCUAAGCAGGGAGCCUGGUGCAAGACAUGAUCCCAGGACCCCAAGAUCAUCACCUGAGCCGAGGCAGUUGCUUAACCAGUUGAGCCCCACCGAUUGUGGAUUUUCAAUGGAUAGGUAAUGUUCUGGAAAAUUUUCUUGGAUUAUAAUUUAUUCUAUUGAUUAUCGUUUC